CUCUUAUCGAGAGUUGGCUGAGGGAUUUGGCCCUUUGACGCCCAGCAACCGACCGUCCGUAUACCAUUUUAUGGAAACCUCUUAGAAGGUGCAAGGCACGGUGCUACAUCCAACAGGUUAAAUCACCUGAGAGAUAAGAG
rnacentral:ncRNA from 2 species